rnacentral:rRNA from 1 species
CCCUGAUGUGGGGGAUAACCAUUGGAAACGAUGGCUAAUACCGCAUAAUGCCUACGGGCCAAAGAGGGGGACCUUCGGGCCUCUCGCGUCAGGAUAUGCCUAGGUGGGAUUAGCUAGUUGGUGAGGUAAUGGCUCACCAAGGCGACGAUCCCUAGCUGGUCUGAGAGGAUGAUCAGCCACACUGGAACUGACACACGGUCCAGACUCCUACGGGAGGCAGCAGUGGGGAAUAUUGCACAAUGGGCGCAAGCCUGAUGCAGCCAUGCCGCGUGUGUGAAGAAGGCCUUCGGGUUGUAAAGCACUUUCAGUCGUGAGGAAGGUGGUGUAGUUAAUAGCUGCAUUACUUGACGUUAGCGACAGAAGAAGCACCGGCUAACUCCGUGCCAGCAGCCGCGGUAAUACGGAGGGUGCGAGCGUUAAUCGGAAUUACUGGGCGUAAAGCGCAUGCAGGUGGUUUGUUAAGUCAGAUGUGAAAGCCCGGGGCUCAACCUCGGAAUAGCAUUUGAAACUGGCAGACUAGAGUACUGUAGAGGGGGGUAGAAUUUCAGGUGUAGCGGUGAAAUGCGUAGAGAUCUGAAGGAAUACCGGUGGCGAAGGCGGCCCCCUGGACAGAUACUGACACUCAGAUGCGAAAGCGUGGGGAGCAAACAGGAUUAGAUACCCUGGUAGUCCACGCCGUAAACGAUGUCUACUUGGAGGUUGUGGCCUUGAGCCGUGGCUUUCGGAGCUAACGCGUUAAGUAGACCGCCUGGGGAGUACGGUCGCAAGAUUAAAACUCAAAUGAAUUGACGGGGGCCCGCACAAGCGGUGGAGCAUGUGGUUUAAUUCGAUGCAACGCGAAGAACCUUACCUACUCUUGACAUCCAGAGAACUUUCCAGAGAUGGAUUGGUGCCUUCGGGAACUCUGAGACAGGUGCUGCAUGGCUGUCGUCAGCUCGUGUUGUGAAAUGUUGGGUUAAGUCCCGCAACGAGCGCAACCCUUAUCCUUGUUUGCCAGCGAGUAAUGUCGGGAACUCCAGGGAGACUGCCGGUGAUAAACCGGAGGAAGGUGGGGAGGACGUCAAGUCAUCAUGGCCCUUACGAGUAGGGCUACAC